GUCCACGCCGUAAACGAUGUCUACUAGGAGCUGGGGUCUUCGGACAACUUUUCCAAAGCUAACGCAUUAAGUAGACCGCCUGGGGAGUACGGCCGCAAGGUUAAAACUCAAAUGAAUUGACGGGGGCCCGCACAAGCGGUGGAGCAUGUGGUUUAAUUCGAUGCAACGCGAAGAACCUUACCUACACUUGACAUACAGAGAACUUACCAGAGAUGGUUUGGUGCCUUCGGGAGCUCUGAUACAGGUGCUGCAUGGCU
rnacentral:rRNA from 1 species